UAGCUCAGUUGGUAGAGCAUGGCGCUUGCAACGCCAGGGUUGUGGGUUUGAUUCCCGC
rnacentral:tRNA from 1 species